GUUAGGAACUGGGGUCAGAGGAACUCAAUAAUAUCCCAAAUUAGCCCGGUCGGAACACGAGAAAAAAAGGGUUCUAGCAAAAAUCCCUCCUGUGAGAAAGGGAAUGCAUCCCAUUAAGAUCCGUAACACCGGCUCUUGGGUACACACACUGUAACAUGAACAAAGGUAAAAGGUAACCAAGGGUCAUAUGAAAAGAUAGAGUAGGCUAAUCUGGAUGCCUCUCAAAGGUCAUUUUAUUAAAAUCAAAUCUUUCUUAUUAACGUGCUUUCCCACCCUCAGAGGCCGUGCCUCCAACUAACGAAUGCGGAGCUACGGAUGGCGUUUAAGAGACAGACAUCAAAUAAGUCAGCUAUGCUAGCAUAGAUACUGCUUACAUUAUCAAACAAUUACGGUAACAAAUGUGUUACUCGCCCGAAGCUUUACACCAUUGUGAUAAAUUAGCCCUCAAGACAGUAGCAACAAGGCUUUCCACCCUAACGUUACGUUAUCGUUUCAAACCUCAUGACGUUACAUGAACCCUUCUAGCUAGCUUGUUCUAACAAACUUAGUUUGCGCUGUGGCAAAAGGUGGUUGGUGGCGGCUGUCUUGAAAUUGUGGCUUAACGUCUGGGGUUUUAGUUUCUGAUUUUACAGCACCAACAUAUACUAUGCAUUCGUAUACAAGUCGAUGCUGCACUCUCACUCCUUUCACUGCCGAGAUGAGAUGAGAGGGCAUUCGUUAUGAAAUGGACAAGGUCGGGGCACAUAGCUAACGUGAUCAAGUACUGGGGCAAGAUAGUGACAUCAUCAGUCUGUUUCCUUCAGCCUUCCUUCUUGCUUGACCCAUUCUUGGCGUCAUGACCCUGUUGAUCCUUAGGACAUCCAACGCUUUGGGCAUUAUUCCAUGGUGGAAUAGUUGAGUGGAGAGAUGUUUGUGGAGAACAUGGAUGUGCUGGAGAGGAGCGCUGAAUCUGUGGAGGACAUAACUGCUGCUGCAACUGCUGCUAUUCCAAAUAUGGAGACGUAGGAGGGAGAAAGAUGGAAUGCCCAGGAUAAGGAUCAUCAUGGCUGCAGCAAAACAUGUGAUCUGCGCUUUGGCUGCAGUGGCGGCAGACAGGGUUCGC